AUUGAACGCUGGCGGAAUGCUUUACACAUGCAAGUCGAACGGCAGCACGGGGCAACCUGGUGGCGAGUGGCGGACGGGUGAGUAAAGCAUCGGAACGUAUCCUGGAGUGGGGGAUAACGUAGCGAAAGUUACGCUAAUACCGCAUAUUCUGUGAGCAGGAAAGCAGGGGAUCGCAAGACCUUGCGCUCUGGGAGCGGCCGAUGUCGGAUUAGCUAGUUGGUGGGGUAAAGGCCUACCAAGGCGACGAUCCGUAGCGGGUCUGAGAGGAUGAUCCGCCACACUGGGACUGAGACACGGCCCAGACUCCUACGGGAGGCAGCAGUGGGGAAUUUUGGACAAUGGGCGGAAGCCUGAUCCGGCCAUGCCGCGUGAGUGAAGAAGGCCU
rnacentral:rRNA from 1 species